rnacentral:rRNA from 1 species
GAUGAACGCUGACAGAAUGCUUAACACAUGCAAGUCGAUGGGGAAGUGGUGCUUGCACCAUGGUAACCAUGGCGGACAGGUGAGUAACGCGUAAGGAACUUGCCUGCGGGACUGGGAUAACAGCAGGAAACUGCUGAUAAUACCGGAUAAGGUCAUUAAGCUGCAUAGCUUAGUGAUGAAAGGAGACGCCUGCGGAGAGCCUUGCGUCCUAUUAGCUAGUUGGAGGGGUAACGGCCCACCAAGGCGAAGAUAGGUAGCCGGCCUGAGAGGGUGGACGGCCACAAGGGGACUGAGAUACGGCCCUUACUCCUACGGGAGGCAGCAGUGGGGAAUAUUGGACAAUGGGGGCAACCCUGAUCCAGCAAUUCUGUGUGCACGAAGACGGUUUUCGGAUUGUAAAGUGCUUUCAGCAGGGAAGAAGGAAGUGACGGUACCUGCAGAAGAAGCGACGGCUAAAUACGUG